rnacentral:rRNA from 1 species
UGGGGAAUAUUGGACAAUGGGCGAAAGCCUGAUCCAGCCAUGCCGCGUGUGUGAAGAAGGUCUUCGGAUUGUAAAGCACUUUAAGUUGGGAGGAAGGGCAGUAAGCGAAUACCUUGCUGUUUUGACGUUACCGACAGAAUAAGCACCGGCUAACUCUGUGCCAGCAGCCGCGGUAAUACAGAGGGUGCAAGCGUUAAUCGGAAUUACUGGGCGUAAAGCGCGCGUAGGUGGUUCGUUAAGUUGAAUGUGAAAGCCCCGGGCUCAACCUGGGAACUGCAUCCAAGACUGGCGAGCUAGAGUAGGGCAGAGGGUGGUGGAAUUUCCUGUGUAGCGGAGAAAUGCGUAGAUAUAGGAAGGAACACCAGUGGCGAAGGCGACCACCUGGGCUCAUACUGACACUGAGGUGCGAAAGCGUGGGGAGCAAACAGG